rnacentral:rRNA from 1 species
CGGAACGGGUGAGUAACGCGUGAGGAACCUGCCUCAAAGAGGGGGACAACAGUUGGAAACGACUGCUAAUACCGCAUAAGCCCACGGCUCGGCAUCGAGCAGAGGGAAAAGGAGCAAUCCGCUUUGAGAUGGCCUCGCGUCCGAUUAGCUGGUUGGUGAGGUAACGGCCCACCAAGGCGACGAUCGGUAGCCGGACUGGGAGGUUGAACGGCCACAUUGGGACUGAGACACGGCCCAG